rnacentral:rRNA from 1 species
GGACGAACGCUGGCGGCGUGCUUAACACAUGCAAGUCGAGCGGUAAGGCCCUUUCGGGGGUACACGAGCGGCGAACGGGUGAGUAACACGUGGGUGACCUGCCCUCAGCUCUGGGAUAAGCCUGGGAAACCGGGUCUAAUACCGGAUAUGACUCCAUGACGCAUGUUGUGGGGUGGAAAGCCUUGUGCGGCUGAGGAUGGGCCCGCGGCCUAUCAGCUUGUUGGUGGGGUGAUGGCCUACCAAGGCGACGACGGGUAGCCGGCCUGAGAGGGCGACCGGCCACACUGGGACUGAGACACGGCCCAGACUCCUACGGGAGGCAGCAGUGGGGAAUCUUGCGCAAUGGGCGAAAGCCUGACGC